UCCUGGUUAACCCAGGCAGUCUCAUUAGAGUUCCCACCUUCACGUGUUGGCAACUAAUGAUAAGGGUUGCGCUCGUUGCGGGACUUAACCCAACACCUCACGGCACGAGCUGACGACAGCCAUGCAGCACCUGUGCACAGGCCCCGAAGGGAAAUGCUAUUUCUAACAUCGUCCUGUGCAUGUCAAGCCUGGGUAAGGUUCUUCGCGUUGCAUCGAAUUAAACCACAUUCUCCACUGCUUGUGCGGGUCCCCGUCAAUUCUUUUGAGUUUCAGCCUUGCGACUGUACUCCCCAGGCGGUAUACUUAUCGCGUUAGCUACGGCACAACCAGGGUUGAUUCCAGUUACACCAAGUAUACAUCGUUUACGGCAAGGACUAC
rnacentral:misc_RNA from 1 species